GACGAACGCUGGCGGCGUGCUUAACACAUGCAAGUCGAACGGAAAGGCCCUGCUUUUGUGGGGUGCUCGAGUGGCGAACGGGUGAGUAACACGUGAGUAACCUGCCCUUGACUUUGGGAUAACUUCAGGAAACUGGGGCUAAUACCGGAUAGGAGCUCCUGCUGCAUGGUGGGGUUGGAAAGUUUCGGCGGUAGGGGAUGGACUCGCGGCUUAUCAGCUUGUUGGGGGGGUAGUGGCUUACCAAGGCAUUGACGGGUAGCCGGCCUGAGAGGGUGACCGGCCACAUUGGGACUGAGGUACGGCCCAGACUCCUACGGGAGGCAGCAGUGGGGAAUAUUGCACAAUGGGCGGAAGCCUGAUGCAGCAACGCCGCGUGCGGGAUGACGGCCUUCGGGUUGUAAACCGCUUUCGCCUGUGACGAAGCGUGAGUGACGGUAAUGGGUAAAGAAGCACCGGCUAACUACGUG
rnacentral:rRNA from 1 species